GACGAACGCUGGCGGCGUGCCUAAUACAUGCAAGUCGUGCGGACCUUGUUGAAAGCUUGCUUUUAAAAGGUUAGCGGCGGACGGGUGAGUAACACGUGGGCAACCUGCCUGUAAGACUGGGAUAACGCCGGGAAACCGGGGCUAAUACCAGAUCGUUUUUUCCUCCGCAUGGAGGAAAAAGGAAAGGCGGCUUCGGCUGCCACUUACAGAUGGGCCCGCGGCGCAUUAGCUAGUUGGCGGGGUAAUGGCCCACCAAGGCAACGAUGCGUAGCCGACCUGAGAGGGUGAUCGGCCACAUUGGGACUGAGACACGGCCCAAACGCCUACGGGAGGCAGCAGUAGGGAAUCUUCCGCAAUGGACGAAAGUCUGACGGAGCAACGCCGCGUGAGUGAAGAAGGCCUUCGGGUCGUAAAACUCUGUUGCCGGGGAAGAACAAGUGCCGUUCGAACAGGGCGGCGCCUUGACGGUACCCGGCCAGAAAGCCACGGCUAACUACGUG
rnacentral:rRNA from 1 species